AAGAAAAUAAAACUCUUAGUGAUAUUUAACAGUGUUUAAUAAUAAAUAAAUAUACUUUACAUUGUAGAAACGUAACACAAUAAUAUUGUUUAUAAAGGUAUACAUUUUGGCAGCUUAAGAAACAAGAACAUGCUGAACUACGCUGUAAUUAACCUUCACUUUUAAAUUUUCAAAUAAGUGAGGAGCACCUAAAAAUGAAUGCUACUUAACAACCAUUUAAAAAAUAUAUCAGUUAACCAAAGAUCUUUGGCAAUAAUGGAAUGGAUAUGAAAGUAGUCACCUGAUGAAUAUAUCUAAACUGAGCAAAAAAUUUUUUAUUUACCUGAAGUUCUCCAGUUAUUGCACUCAUAACAAAUACUUGUUUUCCACAUGCUACAUACAACGAUAAAUUAAUUGGUAAAAUACAUGUUAUAGGAUCAUUAGAACCUAAAAUAACCACUUCAGGUUCUUUUGAUUGAUUUCCCCUUCUAUACAGCAGUAAUGAACCAUUUGAUAAUGCAACAAAAACAGUAUCACAGUGAUGUUUUAUGGCAGUAACUCGAAGACUUUCAUCUUCUCCGGGUAAUAAAAUACUUGCUUCUUCAGACAUAUCAGCUGUAUUAAAAAUUAAUAUACUACAAAAAAUAUAAAUAAACAAAAAUUAGUACUCAAAUGUAAAAAAAUUGUAUAAAAUACUAAGUUACCUUUUAUGAUUAGUUCCCAUCCAAACAGUAUCAGAAGCUCUAACAUAUUCUAUAGCACUAACUAUAGUUUGGGGUAAGUCUAAUGUUGUGAUUUGUUUCAGAAUACAAGUAUUAUUCACAGACAUUAUUGCUAUAUGUGUAUUUAUUGGUAUACUAGUUGUACAAACCCAUAAAUACGAAAACUUUCCACAACCCGAAGAAUAAUAGCAGCCACAUGUAACCUGUUAAUAAUCGUUAAGUUUUUUAUAUUGAAUCAUUAAAAUAUUUUAAAUAGUUACAAAUCUAUAACUUUAAUUUACAUAUUGAUUUACGAGAAGAAAUUAAUAUACAUAUUUUAGAAAUUCUAAUGUAAAUUUUAUAUUAUAAUUUAGCACAAAAAUAUCAAGGAUCAUUUAACAUUUACCUCAGAUUCUUUACUAGAGGAUGAUAUUGGAUGUGCCCCUACAAAUAAGGGCAUUUUUGCCAUAGGACGCAUUAACUCUUGGUCAGGAACCUCCCAAGCUGGUGAAUUGUUAGGAUCAAGAGCCAAACGUGCUAACCGCAAUUCUAGAUAAAAAUCAGAAAUUAAAAUAGUAAGAAAAAAAUUACAUAGAAAAACAUACACAUUUUUCUACUUACCAGUUAUCCAUGCUUUACGCAUAUCUGGAUUUUCCAUUUGAAAAGUAUAUCCUUGUCGGUUUACAAACAAUUGAAGACAGCAUGAAUCCAUCCAUGCAACUUGAUCUCCUUUAUAUUGAACUUCACAUUGAAUUGCAUUCAAAAUUCCUUUUAAAUGUUCUGGGGCUAAAUCCUUAAACAGAAAUGAAAAAAAUUAGGUUUCCAAAGUAUUGUCAAUAAUUAAACUUAAUAUGUUAACUCUUUAUUCAGAUAUAUACAUAUUAUAUAUUUAGAAGCCCAGGAUAUUAAGAAAAGUAGUUUUAAUUUAUAUCAAGAGAAAAAAAUUAUUUAUAAGCUAUACAACUUCAAUCUUGAUUAAUAUAGUUAAAAAAAAUGUUAAGUCAGGCUACUUCAAUAUGUGUUCAUUUUUCCAAUAUUUUCAAAUAUUAUUAGUAAAAGAAUUGUUAAUUAUUUUUAAUUUGAAGGUAACUCAAAUUUUUAACUGGAUAUAAUUUAAGACAUUUGAUAAAUAUUUAAUGUUAUAAAAAAAAAUUAAUAAAACAAACAUUAUUUUAAAUAAUUUAUUUACUUAUUUGAUUAUAAUCAAUAAUAUUAAUAUAAAAAAAUUAUCUUACUAAAUAGGUGCCUUUUAAUGUUGAAGCUAACUCAACAAUACGACUUAUUACUUGGUAAUCAUUCAUCAGGUGAUUCAUUUCAUUGCACAAAUUAUCUGUUGUUAUAUUAUUUUGUGAUACUGUACUUCCAAUU